rnacentral:rRNA from 1 species
AUGCAAGUCGAGCGAACGGACGAGAAGCUUGCUUCUCUGAUGUUAGCGGCGGACGGGUGAGUAACACGUGGAUAACCUACCUAUAAGACUGGGAUAACUUCGGGAAACCGGAGCUAAUACCGGAUAAUAUUUUGAACCGCAUGGUUCAAAAGUGAAAGACGGUCUUGCUGUCACUUAUAGAUGGAUCUGCGCUGCAUUAGCUAGUUGGUAAGGUAACGGCUUACCAAGGCAACGAUGCAUAGCCGACCUGAGAGGGUGAUCGGCCACACUGGAACUGAGACACGGUCCAGACUCCUACGGGAGGCAGCAGUAGGGAAUCUUCCGCAAUGGGCGAAAGCCUGACGGAGCAACGCCGCGUGAGUGAUGAAGGUCUUCGGAUCGUUAAACUCUGUUAUUAGGGAAGAACAUAUGUGUAAGUAACUGUGCACAUCUUGACGGUACCUAAUCAGAAAGCCACGGCUAACUACGUGCCAGCAGCCGCGGUAAUACGUAGGUGGCAAGCGUUAUCCGGAAUUAUUGGGCGUAAAGCGCGCGUAGGCGGUUUUUUAAGUCUGAUGUGAAAGCCCACGGCUCAACCGUGGAGGGUCAUUGGAAACUGGAAAACUUGAGUGCAGAAGAGGAAAGUGGAAUUCCCAUGUGUAGCGGUGAAAUGCGCAGAGAUAUGGAGGAA